rnacentral:rRNA from 1 species
AGCAGUAGCCGCGGUAACACGUAGGGUGCAAGCGUUAAUCGGAAUUACUGGGCGUAAAGCGUGCGCAGGCGGUUAUAUAAGACAGAUGUGAAAUCCCCGGGCUCAACCUGGGAACUGCAUUUGUGACUGUAUAGCUAGAGUACGGCAGAGGGGGAUGGAAUUCCGCGUGUAGCAGUGAAAUGCGUAGAUAUGCGGAGGAACACCGAUGGCGAAGGCAAUCCCCUGGGCCUGUACUGACGCUCAUGCACGAAAGCGUGGGGAGCAAACAGGAUUAGAUACCCCUGUAGUCCCUGUCUCUUAUAC